rnacentral:rRNA from 1 species
UUGGAGGGCAAGUCUGGUGCCAGCAGCCGCGGUAAUUCCAGCUCUAAUAGCGUAUAUUAAAGUUGUUGCAGUUAAAAAGCUCGUAGUUGAAUUUUGGGUCUGGCCGGGCGGUCCGCCCUCCGGGUGAGCACUGUUCCGACGCCGGGCCUAUCCUUCUGGUGAGUCGGCAUGUCCUUUGUUGGGUGUGUCGGGGAACCAGGACCAUUACCUUGAAAAAAUUAGAGUGUUCAAAGCAGGCGUAUGCUCGGAUACAUUAGCAUGGAAUAAUGAAAUAGGACGCGUGGUGCUAUUUUGUUGGUUUCUAGAACCGCCGUAAUGAUUAAUAGGGAUAGUUGGGGGCAUUAGUAUUCAAUUGUCAGAGGUGAAAUUCUUGGAUUUAUUGAAGACUAACUUCUGCGAAAGCAUUUGCCAAGGAUGUUUUCAAUAAUCAAGAACGAAAGUUAGGGGAUCGAAGACGAUCAGAUACCGUCGUAGUCUUAACCAUAAACUAUGCCGACUAGGAAUCGGGCGAUGUUAUUCUCAUGACUCGCCCGGCGCCUUAUGGGAAACCAAAGUGUUUGGGUUC